UCCUCUGUUCUCCCUACAAAGGGACAAGGUUUUCCUUCUUAGGUGAAUACUGCAUGCGCCACUUGCCAUAGAAAGGGUGCAGUCUUGGCAAGCCUUUUAUUAGUCUAAAAAUAAAUUAUUCACAAUGCAGGUUCAGAUACAGAUUGCAAGGAGAGAUAAUAGAAUUGGUUUUCCAAGCCUGAUCAUGCUCGGAAGACAUGGUAUGUGCUUUUCAGGAAUCCACUUCAACAGAAUCAACUUUGACGAGUACACACAAGAAAUAAUAUUGCUGCCAUCCAGCUUGUGUCUGCGGUACAGCAUCCUCUGCUUGUCUUCAAGUACCCACGGUGCCUCUUCAUCAGUGUGCAUAUGGAAAAGUCCACGUUUCUCAAGCAUUUCUUCUGAGAUGCCGCCCUCCCAUUGUUCUUUUAAGGAAAUUUCUUUCUGGCAGCGUGAGAGGGGCACUGCCUCCUACCCCCCUUCUGCCUCAGCAGAACAGUUGACCACAGCAGCAGCCGACUCCGGCUCGUCAUGUGCUUUCUCAUGUGAUGUAGGUCUGCGGCACUGUGGAGCAAUCGCAUUUGAGACUCGGCACUCGUGGACAGACGGGCGUUCAGGGACUGGGGAGUUUUUGGAGGGGGUGGGGAGGCCAAUAAACCAAGAAAACGUCAGAAAUAAAAGUCGCAUCAAGUAUGCUGAUCUCUGUAUUCCUAUUUUUGUUUUGAAAUUUGAUUUUAGCUAUUGUUUUUUCUGGUUGUAUCUGUGUUUUUUCCACCCCUACAGGCGCCGAGCUGCGCUGUUGUUUUUUUUUUCUUUCUUUUCGAUUUUUUCUUUUUCUUUUUUUCCCCCGAAAUUCUGAAGCCAGACUGUCUCCUUCACAGCUCCAGGGCUGCACCACUGUGGGCACAUCAAGCUUCGUCCGGCUCACCUGCAUGGUUCCGGCUGACUCCCGCCUGAGAUGGCCCAUCGUACAACUAGAAUCCCAGAAUCUCCUGUCUGCACCCUGCGGAAGGACCUACUGCAAUCCCUGGCCAGGGUCUCUCACAGCCGGAUGGGGUCUUGGAAGACAGGGUGAAGUUGCAGAAGAUUGGGGUGGGAUGCUAGAGGCAUGUGGAGGACUUGGAAAGGGAAUUUAGGAAUACUAUACAUCAGUGCCCACCGAUGCUAUGCAUACAGGGGAGGGCAGCCACAGCCCCUGCCUCAUGUGCCUAACUCCGGCUGCUCUCUGGGAUUAGUCUGAGGGGGACAACCCAGGUCUGGAUGUGGUGGCAUUUUCCCAGAGAAUGGAACUGAAGAUGGAUGAACCAGGUACUUGCUGUGUCUGCCUGACAGGGCAGAGCUGGAGAAAUGGAAAGGGAGCAGAAGAGCUGCUGAGUGUCCUGAGAUUGUCUGCUGCCCUCUCUGCAGUCUUAGUCUAAGGAAGGAUGGCAUAAUGGAUCUGCCAGUACAUGCAUGGAGGACCUGUAAAUUGCAAUGUGGAUGUCCCUGGUACUGUCAAGGAAGAAACUGAUGGGCUGGGUGACAAUACAGUGUCCCAGAGAAAAUAGCAGUCUUGCAGCAUGGAUUUAAGUGCAUGUGCAUGCGUGUGGAGACAUGGAAGAGACUGUGUCACACCACACACACACACACACACACACACACACACACACACACGAGAGAGAGAGAGAGAGAGAGAGAGAGAGAGAGAGAGAGAGAGAGAGAGAGAGAGAGAUUGGCUGGGUCGGGUUUGAUUUCAGAUUUCACAGAUUUCACUCCUGCUCAAGACCUAUUUCCUGGCUAGCCAGAAAACUUGGGCAGAGCAGCUGCAUAUAGACUUUUCUUUGAAACGGCAGAGCAAGCCCCUUCAGUUUUAACUCCUUGAGGUUCUAAGUGCUCUGCAUUGGGCUAAGACUCACUGUACGGUUUUGUUUUCUUCUUCUACAGAGCCCUGUAAACACAGCUGUAUUCAGUAUGGCGGAAAAAUUCUGUCCUCUAAAUAGAAAUGCGAUCAAUUUAAUCAAAAUAAAUGUAUCCCAGAUGACUUUGAGGCCAGCUGGAUACCACAGGCUUCAGAAGCUAAGCGUUCAGUGGAGAUGAAUACAGUGUUAGAUUUACAUGCUUUUGAAUGCUAGGAUCAGCUAUGCUUAAUAAAGGAAAUUCUUUAAGGAAAAGGGAGGGUUCUCCUGGCUCCCAGCUAGAUGGUAAUCACAGGUGCUGCUGCUGAUCCUGGCACUGGGUUUUGUAGCUGUCAAGCUUGCAGGGGUGUGUGGCAUGAGGCAGGGCAAGACUGAUGUCAGUGUAAAGCAAGCUUCCAGCCUGCUUGAGGCUGUAGGAGGAGGGCGGCCUCUCCAUAGCCUCGGUUGGGGCUUGGCGGAUACUAGAAGCUUGUAGAUCAAUAUGAGUGAGCUGGGUGAAGUGAUCUCUGAGCUGGGAGCAAGCAGCUUUCCCAGUUGUCAUGGGGGCUCCUCUGGGACGCCUGUCUGGCCUGUCCACCCACUGUUCGUUAGGAAAUCUACAGAGCCGCUCUGUGUGCUGGAUUAUGUUUGGCCAGCUGUUGGUGCAUUCCUGAGGGUGGGGGUGGAGACAGGAUCUUAUUACUGUACUUCCAAACUGUAGAUCUAUGUGGAGAGAGAGAAAGAGAGAGAGAGAGAGAGAGAGAGAGAGAGAGAGAGAGAGAGAGAGAGAGAGGGCUGUGAUGGUGAGAGGAAAGAAACCCAAGCAAGUCUGAUAAUAUCCCUUCUCCAGGUUGUGCUAGAGGGACUUCAGAAAGGCUAUGAAGGGAGAGAAAGGAGAUGGUAAGGGAUGGGAGCAUGGUGAAAGAGCCCUGAGACAAAGCAGGACUUCAAAGCUGCAGAGACGAGCAGAAUGUCAGCAGCUUGUAAUUAGCGGUUCAUGGUUGCGUCAGAGACUGUAUCUCUCCAAGAAUAACUGUGUGCUGUAUGCCACAGAGUGCAGAAGACAGUCAUAACUAAGUUACCAAGCACAGUUCAAACAAGGGCAGAUGAAGGCAUUUUUCUGUUUGAAAAUUAAGCGCAGCUAGGGUGCACAUCUCACCGGCUGGAUUCUGCCUAACUUCUAGCAGAAUGCUCAGCGUAUCGGAGAGUGUUUGUGAGAUCAAACAGGGAACCUGUAAGCAAGCAGACUAAGUAUGCAAGCUCUGUCACUGUAGGAUACCGUCCCAAACAGCCCCACACUGCACUGCUGGGCUCCUGUCUCGGUAUCUACCCUUCACUUCUGUAUGUCAAUGGAGGAAAAUUAAAAGUACCCUCAAGUACAAAUGUCCCUGUUAGAUUCUAAAAUUUCUAACAUAGAAUUAAAAUUUUACUGCAGGUUCUGAGCUGUUUUGGUAUGCUUAAUUUAUACAUCGAAGAAGCCUUUGUUGUGAUUAUCUUGCUACGGAUUCUGUGGGGAAGCAUCAUACCACUGUAUGAUGUUGAAGGGCACCUUCCCUUCCGCCCCCAGUCUCUCUGGUGUCGGGAGUUCCAGCAUUCUCUGCAGCCUCCCUGAGGAGCUGGUGGGAGGAGCUGGUGGGAGGAGCUGAUUGGCUAGCGGGCUCAGCGUGUUUACUCUUAUUUGUUUUAGUGCUCCUUCACGGUGUGCACUGACUAUUUGUAUUUGUGUUCAUGCUGCACAAUUACUACUGACCAGCUUUGUUUCUCUGCCCAAAGUGAAGUCAAUUUUAGUUCAGCCCCUGCAGUUGAGUCCCUGGGCAAUGGGCACAUAUGUAUUAUGUUACCCAUGUAUGCAAUUUCCUUUAAAAAAAACAACGUGGAUUAGGGAAAACUCUAGGCAAGGAGAGCCGUGUGUAUCAAAUCAAUAGCUUUUUGAAUCACAUGUAAUAUAAUUUAAAUAUACUCACUUCAAGGUUGCCAAAGCCUACGUUGUCUGAGCCCAGUUAAUUUACAUCUUCGAUUUAGUCAAGGAGUGGAACCUGCCAGAUCAGAAUGCUGUAUUCUGGGCACCCAACAGGGUGGAAGACAUUAUUUUGUUUGUGUUAGUUCAAACAGCUGGUCAUUAAUGCAGUCUCCAUUUCGAGAGUGAAACGCUGGUGGACAUGAAUGGCUGUCUGAUUAAUGCUGCCCCUCCCCUCGGAGGGUCCUUCACCCAGCCAUGCCGGUGCAGAAUAAUGUAGCAUGAUGUGAUUGCACUCUAACAGGAUAGUAUGUCAUUGUGUCACCAAGCAAUUGAGGUUAUUAUGGGGCAGGGCAGACAGACGGGACAGUGGGGUUACUAGACCGUAGCAUUUUUAGAAAUACAGGCCUGACCUACUUAGAGUUAUUCUGGCAGGCAGCUGCACGGUACAUAAAGUCUCCUGAUAGGCUGAGGCUGUUGCUAGGGGGAAUUAGCAUGAAUUUUUCCACACAGAGACUCAGCGACUGAAUGAUAAAAGCUGACUGGAAUUAAAGAGAUUUGGUUUAGCAUUGUACAGAUUGAUCUGCCUAAGUUUUUUUUUUUUUCUUUCUCAAGUGCAGACAAAGAGUGCAAAAAAAUAGAGAUUUUUGUUUGUUUGUUUCUAUUUGUUCUUUGACCUUUUCCUACUCUUCCUUCUGCCCUUCACCCCCAAGAACCAGGAGAGUAGAGGAGCAGAGCAGUUAUGAAAUUUUGGUUAAUCUCUUACUGUUGGGUUCACUGAAACCAUGUUGCAAAUGGCAAGAUGUUGAAACUUCACGACUGCUGGGCAAGCCUAGAGAAGGGCAGAUGGUUUUUUUGGUCCCCUGUGUAGCAAGCUGUUUUGGAGUUGGGCAUGCGUCUUUUAUACACGGUAUAUUUUAUACACCCUUUCCCUUUUGGGCUUGAACAAAACAUUUACAUAAAUUCUUUUCUAUCCAAACAGAUUGAAGCUUGCAAUUGCUGGCUUGUUUAAAAUAAGAUAGACAAGAUUCCAGAUUUAGUAUAUAUAUAAUAUAUUACAUAAUAUAUCACAUAUUAUAUAUAUAUACCAUUUUUAUUACAAAAAUAUUUUUUUUCUGGGCUACCUUUGUCUUUUGAUGUUUAUGCUCAGGGAAAAAAUUUACCCCACCCUUUUUUGUUCCCCAGUGUACAAAAAAAGCACUGUUUUGUUUGUUCGUUUUUUUUGUUUUGUUUUAUUUUGCUUUGCUUUUUUUCUUUGCAGAAGAAAGUGUAGCUGUAGAACCCAGUCUGGAGACUGUUUUUCCAUGUUGCUGACAUGGGCACUGAGUGGGGAGAAAGCUCACAUAAUCAAUUUUACAACAUGACCCACUUUCCCUCCCCAGUGUUCCCAAGUGUCUGCAGUUUUAAUAGAUCUUUACAAGAAGAGGGUUUUUAAUAGAUCAUUGUAAAAUAAUCUGAAAGUCCAUCAAGAGAAAAAUUAAAGCAAUGUGUAUUCAAGAAUACUUUGCAUUUUUUUCUCGUCUUAAUUAUAUGCUAUCUGUGGUGUUUGUGCUGACAGUAGUGAUUAUCGUGUUAUUUUUAUUUGAAAUUAAUUUUGGUAAGAAAGUACUAUGAGUUCAUAAGUAAACAAGGAGCUGAGGUACAUAAGUACUGGAAAGGAGAAAAACAGUGCUCAGCCUGCUUUGCUGGAUUUCUUGCCCAUGCAUAAAGAGGCAAGAGGGUAUUUAUUUGUGGAUGUUUUUCCAUUUAGGUUUAAAAAGUAUUCAGAACCAUGUAUAUACAGACAUUGUAGUGAAAACAAACCAAAAAUGAUUUAGUAGUAUCUAAUCCAGAAAGCCAUUGAGCAUCCUCUUUAAAAAACAAACAAACAAACAAACAAAACAACAACAUCAAAAAAACCCAAAACCUAUUGAGUGCUGUUUCCAGUUUAGAAUUUUAGCAUGUAAAGACACCUUAGUAAAGAGAAUGUUGUGGGGAUGAAUUGUGCCCUUGCUAGCUAGGAGAGUCCCCACGAUAGCAUUAAUCAUGAGGCGCUCCAAACGUUAAACCAUCUUUCAUAAUUGAAUAGACAGUCAAUUUAUUUUUAUGAAUAUAUAAUAUCCUUGUGUGCUCUUCCUUACAAAGUGAUACAUUUAUUUUCAAAAUUAUUUUAUCAAAUGAAUAUUUUUGGCCUCUCUUCUAUCAUAAGCCACUUUGCUUAAGUUGGUGUAAAGUUGGUUAAAUAUUUAAGUGCAAGGAUAUAGAAAUGAAAUUUCAAAUUUAAAACUCCUAAAGAAGGACAUAUUUUAAAUUAAUGCUCUUUAAUAGACAGAUGCCUAAUUUAUGGAAUCUACAGCCUGUGUCCAGGCAUGUAUCAUACUCACAGUAAAUGUUUGUUGUUUAAUGAAAAAUGAAUUGGCCAUAUUGAAUUGCUCAGUAGAAUCUUGCUUGGAUGUUGAAGUUAUUAAUUUUUUUCCUUACUUCGGUCUUCAACCAUUACUAAAGAGGUAAGCAUUCGGUGUGCCAACAAAAACAAAGAGAACAUAGUUUUGAAUGUAAUUUAUGCUUAUUUAACUUAGGUUAAACGUAACUCCCAACAUUCACUUAGUGCAUGUCGAUCGUACUUGCUUCAUCCACUGCCAUUGAUCAGACAGCCAAAGGAACAAGCACCCGCACUCAUUACAUUGAUUAUUUAUUAGGUGAGCAUUUCUUUCUGCUCACACAUGAAGCUAGCUUUUCCAGUUAUAAGGAUCAGCAUAAAGCAGUGAAGUUUGGGGGAACUAGAGAGUUGGUUGUUGGGGUCACUGAGUUCAGUUAGGAUCCAAGUAAAAUAUCUCUCUCAAAUGUCCUGUCCAAACUCUGAUGUCGCCUAAACCAUGGAGCUUGGAAAAAGGCCUGGUGGCUUUGCUUCCUAGUGCUUAGAGGUAAUCAGCCUUUCUGAUCUCACCAAGCAGCUAUUGCUCUUUCAAACCAUCUCAACAAUGUUGAAAAACCAACAGUAAGUCAGACUUUGGGAGGUCAUUACUAGCAUACAGUAGCCCAGAGAUUUUCAGCAUCAUUAUUUAAAUAAUUAGUAGCAUUUCAAUGAUCUUUAAGUGCCCAAACUGUGCUAGCUGAGAUGCUGUCUGCCCCUUAGCCUGAAACUGACUUGUCUUCCUUUUUACUGCUUUCUCUUCUUAGUACAGCAUCACAUGCCAUUAAGUUCUCCCAAAUCUCUCAUCCUUCUUUUGUCCAAGUGCUAGGUGCAGAGAAGUUGGUUGGUUGAUGGAUGAGCAGACUAAUGAUUAUCUAGUUAGUUAAAAAUGAAUACAUUUAUGGCUAUUCAGAAGGAAAAAAUCAUAAAUGUAUUAUACAGUUGGCCAUAUGUGGACUUAUUUAGUGAUAAAGAUCCAAGUAGUUAGGUUUUAUGGGCUCCCUGAUCUCUGUGCAAUUACUCAACUUGCCUGAUAUAGCUAAAAGGCAGUAAUAGACAGUAUAUAAGCAAAGGAGUCUGACUGCCUUUAAAUAAACUUUAUUUAUAGAUGCAAGCAAUUGGCCAGAAUUGGCCUAUGUACUAUAGACACAGGUAUAUUGUUAUCUAUGGUAGAUUAAAGAUAUGACUAAGCAUGACAUACAUACUCCUUAAUAUAUUUUUUCCUUUUUUCUUUCUUUAGUUUAUUGUAGCUAUCUUCAGCUACAACAGAAGAGGGCAUCAGAUCCCAUUACAGAUGGUUAUGAGCCACCAUGUGGUUACUGAGAGUUGAACUCCGGACAUCUGGAAGAGCAGUCAGUGAUCUUACCCUUUGAGCCAUCUCUCCAACCUCUCCUCACUAUUCAUCCAUCCUAUAAUAGACACAUGGAGGCCCUGCUUUAUCUGACUUUCCAGGCCAUAGUCAUUAAAGUUCACAGCACAGAGGCCCCUUGGUUUCGGGGUCCAGUUACAAGCAUGAAGAAAGCCAGUAUUGUUUUGCAAGAAUGACUGCUGGCACCUUUAACGUUACUGUGUUCUCAGAGUAAAAGGUAUGUGUAGAUUUGCAAUGUUUUAAUUUUAAGGGCUCUUUUUACACCUGCUUAUUGGAAGAGCAUUCCACAGAGCUUUGCAUGUCCUGUUGUUUCAGCAGAAAACACAGUAGUAGCUGGAGUGCUAUGUGGUGAUCAUUAAUCUUUACUAGAGUCAGUGGACUCUUAAUUAAGGAGGUAUGAAGCUGUGUGUUUUUUCUUUCAUCCUUAUAACAAGCACAAAUCUUAAGACAAAGGAGCCUCAUAAUAAAAUAUUGAUAAUUUACAAACAAUUCAAAAGAGGGAGAGCAAGCAGUUUUGAGUGAGUGCCUUCUCUUGACCUGUACUCCAGCACAUUAGGAUUAGGGCUGGAGGUCAGUGGUCCUGGUGAGUACUCAUUGAGGCAAACAGGACCCACUGCAUUUCCAGACCUCCCUUUGGAAUUCCUCUCAAGCACCUGUACAGAUAGAAUGGCAGGUGUGGUAGAGGCCUAUCCUUUCAUAGCAUCUCUAAUUUUAAAAUCAGUUAUUUGAUACUGCAAGCUUGAGUUUCUUGUAUUAUGUACCCAAUCCAUAAAAGGAGAAGCAACUCCAUUCACUUAAAACCUGGCUACAACACUAUAAGAUCCUUAAAAAAAUUAGUGUUUUCAAAGGUAUCAGAGCUCAGUAGGUGUUGCAGUACCCAAGUAAAUACUCAAAUUGAUCCCGGCAGUAGUGGCAUUCCUCACUACCCACCCCAAUGUUCUGGGUUCCUGAAUGAAACACACACACUACACACACACACACACACACACACACACACACACACACACGCACUUUAUAUUUUGAUAUGCUUAAAUCAGCUCCAUGGAUCACUUCCUUACCUCCAUGUUCUUAAUCCACCUCCCUCUGAUAUUCUCAAGUUAUUACUUAUUAAAAUCUAUACUCCAUCUUUGCUGCCCUGGACCCACUCAGACAGUCCUCUUGGGGGCACUCUCCCCAUGCUCCUACAUAGUGGCUAUGCUCUCUGUCCUACACUUUUUCAAGCACGGCAUCUCUCCUUUCCUUCUCCGGGUAUGGUGGCUCUCCUUCUUCUCUUCUCCCUCUUUGUCCCUGGCCCAGGAAUCCUCUAGCCCUGUUUGCCCUGCCCAGUCAUUGGCUAUUGGCAGGUUUAUUUACCAGUCAGCAUGUCCCUCAGUGUCUUACUUGGGGACAUGUGGAUUCUCAUGCAAACAGUUUUGGGGACCCAAAUUAGCAUAAUACAAGCAGCGUUAGAUCAGUACAGGUAGGACUCUUGGUCGCCUUCGGAUAUCAUAAACUCCAGCCCUCGCAUGGGGACAUUUAUAUCAAUUUCUGCUCAGAUAUUGCUGGGCCCUGUUUCUGAAGUUCAUGGUGUCUUACCUUCCAACUCUUCACAAUGGCAAUAGACUGUGCAUUUUGGAAGUCUCUGACAGAUCUGGCCAGCAACUCGAAUGAGAGUUUCUCAUCUUCGUUAUUGGGGUUUUGUUAGUUGGUCUUUGGCUCUUGGAGAGAAGUCUAUCAGGCAAGAUUAGAAAAGUCCAUUAAAACUAUAUGUGUAUAUUUAUAGACAUGCCAAAUUAAACAGAGAAAGGACCAUGAGGCCUCAACCCUACAUAAAGAACUAUAGCCAAUUCAGCAGGCUGAGAACAGAAGUGGUCUUCCUUAGGAAGAGCAUAUCAACUGGUUGUCCAUGCCAUGAAAACAUACAUACAAGGAAAAUUAUGCAGACUGAACAGGCUAUGUUUAGAAAUACAUAUGUAUAGACUUAUAAGCAUGGAAUUAGGAUAUAAAGAGGUCACGAAUUUUAAGGAGAAUGGAGAGGGGUAUGAGCAAGUAUUUGGAGGAAAGAAAAGGAAAGGAUAAAUGAAAUUACAUUAUAAUCUCUAAAUGCAUGCAUGCAUGCAUGCACGCGCGUGCACGCGCACACACACACACACAGACACACAUAAAAUGGCAUAAAAUGUCCACAUUGCCUCUGCUUUCUGGCCAUUCCAUACUUAUGUAGAUAGCAUACAAACAAUUGCUAUGCUCUUCCCUGCAGAAGAUCAUCUUUCCCAUUCCCAGCAUUCUUCGGUUGGCUAUAGUUCUUUGGAGUUUCUUGGAUUUGCCUAACCAACAACUUGAAAGUUGUUUCUCAUCAAAGGUACUGGUGUUUAGUUAGUCUAUGGCUCUUGAGGGACAUAGGUUUUACACAUGAUAAUAGAUAAAAUAAUAUGAUUACCUUUUCAAACAUUUAAUGCUAAUUAUCCCCCUCUCCUCCUCUCCUGUAAUAUCUCUCUUCUUUCCCCCAUUAAAGAUCCACCUUGUUCUUUUCAUUUUCUUCUUCAACUGUAUCUUAAUUACUCCUUUCUAGAGCUCCUUUCAAACCUCCAUGAUCCCUUUUUACUUUCCUAGUUUCUGCAGUUACUCACAUCUGAGGAUUUGGGGCUAUGAAUGAUACAUGAGAAAGAACAUGAAAAACUUGUUUUUCUGGACCUGUGUUACCUCACUUAAUACUAUUUUUCAGGUGCAUUGGUUUACCUGCAAAUUUGGCGAUUCAUUUUUUAUUUUUUUACAGUUGAAUAAUAUUCCAUUUUUAUAUGUACCGUAUUUUACUUAUUUAUCCAUCAGUUAAUGGACAUUUAGGGUGUUUCCUCCUCCUUGCUAUUGUGAACGGAGUGGCAAUGAACAUGGAAUCUAAGAUUUUUUUGAGAUCCUAUAUUUAUGACACUGUGACCAAAAUACUUCCCUACUCAGUCAUAGCCUAGGAAGUGUCAUGAAUGUAGGAAGGAUUUCCUUCCUACAGGUCAUCACAGUUGAAGUUAUAUCAUGAAGAACUGUUACCCUUCAGAUAGUUCCCAUAUUAAAGGAGAGGGGAAGAGCAGUCCGAAGUCUUGAAAUCUACCAGACAUCUCUACACUUUGGUUUUUAGAAUAUCAUAUUGGACAUGCUUAUAUUGGACCUCUAUUUAUACUAAGGGAAUUUGGAUGAAAACAAAAAUUUAAACACAUAACAAACUUACAAAAAAUGAAGAAGAGUAUUAGACAACAUGUGAAAUUUGUAGCCAUUUGCUUUAUCCAGCCUACUGGCUACUGAGAAUUGUAAAUGUGUUGGCUACUGGCUACUGUGUACUGGAAUACUGUUUCCAAUAGACUGGAAAGAUGGCUGAAUAGAUGGGAUACUCUGUAAGGAUAAAAUGCUCUUUAGAAUCUAACAACUUACUAAGACAGAAGUGUGAAAUAAUAUAAUUCAUCAAGUUAAAUAUUAAUGAUGGUAUUAAAAGUGGUGAAUGGUACAACAUUAGUAUUUUUGAUAUAUUUAAAGUUGCAAUUUUAGAGUUAGUAUGUUUUAUUCAUAUUUAUUUAAUUUUUAUUUCAUUUUGAAAUAGAAUCUCAUAAAGCACAGGCUAGCUUUGAGGUCACUUUGUAGGCAACAAUAAUCUUGAACUUCUGGUCUUCUUCCUACCUUUACCAUUUGAGUGCUUUGAUUAUAUGUACACACACACACACACACACACACACACACACACACACACACACACACACCUAGUUUCAUGUUGGGCUUUGAACCCAGGGCUUUGUGAAUGCUGGACAAGCACUCUACCAACUGAGCUACAUCACCAGGUCAGUUUUGCUUUUGUUCUAAAAUGUGGCUUCUAAUAUGUACUUAUAAGUAAAUACGUGCCAUGUUUUUCUUUCAGGGUCUAGUUUACCUUACCCAGGAUGAUUUUUUUUUCCAGUUACAUCCAUUUGCCUGUAAAUGCCAUGAUGCCAUUAAAAAAAAAAGCUGAGUAAUACUCUAUUGUGCAAAUGUACCACAUUUUAAAAUUCUUUUCUCAUAUAUUACAUCUCAAUCACAGUUUUCCCUCCCACCCCUUCUCCUAGUUUCUCUAGCCACUAUCCUCUCCCCCAGAAGGAAACCAACCAAACAUGAUAUAACAAGCAAUAAUAAAAACAGGCACAUACUGUCACAUCAAGACUGGACAAGGCCACCAAGUGGGAGGAAAAAAGGGUCCCACAAGUAGGCAAAAGAGUUAAGGACAACACCUGCUGCCACUGUUAGAAGUCCCACAAGAACACCAAGCUGCUCACCCACGGCAUAUGCUGAAGUCUAGCUCAUCCCCCUACAGGUCCUUUGAUCUCUGACUCCCCAUGAGUCUCAGUCAGUUGAAUUUGUAAGCCAUAUUCCCUUGAUAUGUCCCUGACCCCUCUGUUUUCUCGGAUUCUUCCUCCCCUUCCUGCACAGGAUUCCCUGUGCUGCACCUUAUGUUUAGGUGCCCAUCACAUUUUCUUUAUUCAUUCUUUUGUUGAAGGACAUCUAGAUUGUUUAAGUUUUGGGCAAUUAUGAAUAAAGUAGCAAUGACCAUGACUAGGCCAGUGACCUUCUGGUAGGAUGGAUCCUCCUUUGGGUAUAUAUGCAGGAGCGGUAUUGCUGACUCCUGAGGUAGAUCAGUUCUCAGUUUUCUGAGAAACUGCCAUAUUGAUUUCUGAAGUGGCUAUAUAAGUUUGCACUCCCACCAGCAAUAGAGGAGAGUUCCCCUCGCUCUACAUCCUUGCCAGCAUGAGCUGUCACUUGUAUUUUUGAUCUUAGCCAUUCUGACAAGUAUAAGAUGGAUUUUUAGAGUUGUUUGAUUUGUAUUUUAAUGAUGGCCAAGAGUGGUGAACAUUUCUUUAAGUGUUUCUUGGCCUUUAGAGAUCCCUCUGUUGAGAAUUCUGUUUAGAUCUGUACCCGAUUCUUUUAAUUGAAUUGUUUAGUUUAUGUCUUAUUUCUUGACUUCUUCAUAUAUUUUGAAUAUUAGGCCUGUGUCACAUCUGAAGUUGGUGAAAAUCUUUUCCCAGUCUGUAGACUGCCAUUUUUGUCAUAUUGAUGAUGGCAUACUUUGCCUUACAGGAGCUUUUCAGUUUCCUGAGGUUAUAAUUAUUAAUUGUUAAUUUUAGUGGCUGCAUUACUGGUGUUCUGCUAAGAAAAUUGUUUCUUGUACCCAUGCAUGUCAAAGCUAUUUCUCACUUUCUCUUCUAUUAGGUUCUGAGUACCUGGUUUUAUGUUGAGGUCUUUGAUCCACUUACCUGAGUUUUAUGCAGGGUUUUAGAUAUAAAGAGUCAAUAAAAUGAUUCCUAAUGAUAUUCUGUUAUACAUGUAGGCUAUAGAGCCUAGCAUAAUCAUCAUCAGAGAGCCUUUCUUUCAGCAACUGAUAGGAGUAGAUGCAGAGACCCACAGGCAAGCAUUAAAUAAAUAGAGCCUGGGAAAUCCCAAGAAAGGAGGAGGAGGAACAGAAGCCAUCCACAGUUUCAUUCCAUUGAGCUGACCCAGAAUGCUUCAAAGUCAUCCAGAGGUGAUGUAGUAGGCUACCAAUUUACAGCAACAAAAAGAAUGGAAAUCAAUUUCCAAGAACCCAGUCCUCUCAUUUGGGUCAGAAAAUUCUCUAUUGUAAUAGAUAUCCAGUGUUUCAUAAAUUAUUUAGUAUUGUCCCCAAAGUCUACAUAUCAGUGAGAAACACCACUAUAUAAACCUACAAUGACCCAGGGUAAGAGAAUAUGAACAUCGUAUGUCAAUACAUUUGAUGCCCAAGACAAAAUGUCAAAGUUCAACAAAAGUUCAGACAUUAUAAUUAAUCAAAGAGGAAACAGAAACUUUGACUCCACUGGUGUUAAUAAAAGAUAUUGUAUAAAAUUACAUUUAGGUCAUGUGUAGAUGAAACAUGAGUUGUAUACAUGGCCUUGAUUUUUAUUCCUGAGAUACUUCAUGCUAGACCUGCAAGCUUUACAGUAGGAAAACAAAUCCCAAAGAUGAAAGCAGUCUGGCCCCUCCCAAGUCUUUCAUGCCACCGGCAUACAGAUGUAACUUCUGUGAUUCAUGUACUGAUAACUCAUCCAUGACAUAUAUUUAAAUUAUAAAAACAUACAUUCUAUAAAGCACUUGCAUACAUACUAUCAAAACAUAUUUUAAUAUAUUUACAGUGCUGUAAUGUGUUGUAUUAAAAUGCUGAGUUCAUAAUGUACUAUAAGUGUGAACUGCCUGGUUUUUAAAGCACCAAGUUAUAGUAAUAGAUAAUAAAACUUGCUGUCAAAAUGUAAACAUUUGUUUGAGGAUACAGAAUAUAUCUUACGACCAGCUAUAAUCACAAAUAUUCAUUUUGACCACAUUAGGAAACUUCAAAUUGCUAGAAAAAAUAAAAUAAAUAAACGUCUGGUUGAUGGGACAUCACACCUUCAGGCUUUUACUGUAAUUUGUUCCACAGGCCAAAGCCAGCAUUGUCAAAACACUGCAGGUAAUACUACGGAUUCCGUGUUGUUUUCUCUCCUGUAGUAUUAAAUGGAAUGCAAACACAGAAAAAUGCUCUUCACUCAUUCUCUCUCUCUCUUUCUCUUCUUUCUUUCUUUCUUUCUUUCUUUCUUUCUUUCUUUCUUUCUUUCUUUCUUUCUUUCUUUUGGAUGAGAAAGGAACAGCUCUUUGUGGGAAAUUAUUACCCUGAUGAUUGCAGUGUGAAUUUUCUUUAGCACUGAAUACUGGAACAAAGUGGUCACCAGUGAGUCCAGACAGAGAGCUGAUGUGUGCUAUGCACCACAAAUUUUUUUUUCUUUUUUGUAUAGCAUAAGAAGGUGGUGCAUGUUAGUGAGUUAGCUCUUUAGUGAAACAUGCAUUCUCUGUUCACUAAUAACUAUUAAUCCCACACAACAGUUGUCAGCAGUGAGUCACACACACACACACACACACACACACACACACACACACACACACACUGUAUUAUAUUACACAUUUUUUGUCAUCAUGCAGACUUUGUGUUUUCUCUAUCUGAUAGCUUCAAAAGUGCAUGCCAAAUUGUCAAAGGCUGUCAGAUUAUAAGGCAGUGUUCUGAUCUGGAGCUGAAGAGUGGCCUCCAGUUUCUGGCCUGUCUUGUAUGUCUCAGAAGCACGGAUUGUUAAACAGUCUGGGGAAACUGAAAGCAGCAAAUGUGCAAUAAAAUACCCCUUGUAGUUCAAGGCUGCAUGACAAAGGAGGCCAAGAAGCUUGGCUGUCCUCUGGCAUUCCAGGGUGGUUUACCUGAAGAAAGUCCUGUUGCCAGAUACAUAAAGAAAACAGAUGCAAUUUCACAAGUAAACUUCAGGAAGUGCAUUUAACGCCACUUUCUGCUGAAGCUCGAUGCUUUCUUAAAAUAUUUUGCUAUAAAAAAUAAAGGAAACAAGAGUGAUCUUUUGUUCCUUCUCUGCCCAAGGCUUUCAGCAUGGCCUUUAAAUGACCUCCCACUUGGAGAGCACUUAAAUUAAGGACCGAAUUGUGAGAUCUCCCUAAGAUCUCCCGGUGAUAAGCAUGCUUUGUUUAUGCCUCUCCCCCGCCCUGUGCUGUGUCCUGUUGGGAUAGUCACUGUUUCUUCUUUGCUUCUGAGUGUGCCAGAAAACUCCCAGGAGCUUAAGAUGUCUGUGACUCCCAGAGCCUCAUGUCUUCUGGGCAACCAUUGUACCCCAGAGUUGCAGUCUAACUCCCUCUUUUUCCUGAUAAAGUUCUUUCUUCCUCAAGAACUCUACUGUGGUCGGUCCAUGGGUCCCGGUAAACUUAUUGUUUUAAAAUGUCAUAUUUACUUAGAUCAAAUGAAAAGCCACUGUGUCGAAAAUGAGACAGAUAACUGUCUUAAAGAGAUUUCCUGUCUUUUCCUGCCAAGAACACUAUAUGUAUUUUACUCACAACAGGAAGUAAGGAUAAAUUUGACGCCUUCUAUUUUAUCUAAGAAAGCAUUUCUGGUGGUUUCGCCAUGUAAGAAAGGUAAAAAGGAUAAAGAUCCUUUAACUCUUCAGGGUCAGAACUAAUUUACAUUGAUAUGUUGUAGAAUUGUCUUCAUCUUCUAAUGUUGAAAUAUAGCCCUUAAUCAAAGAAAUACAAGGCAGGCGUCUACAGCAAGGUAAAGGGAUGGAGCCAUGAGGCCCUAAACUCAAAAUUAGGAAGGCACCAUGGAGAAGCCAGCCUAGCAAACGCUGAGACGAGAUGCUGCAAGCGUGCUUAUAUGGUGAGAAAAUCCAGCAUGGGGCUCUGCAAUUUAAGCUAGAUGAAGAAGUAGUUGAAUUACGGACUCUUAAAAGAUAUGCCUAAGAUCAAACAUUGGCUCCAAACUCCUUUUUUUCAAGUUCCUAUACCAAGUUCCGCAAAUUAAGUCAUUUAAUCCAACAGACAUAUAGUUUUGACAGUUCUGGAAGCCAGAAUCAAGGUAUGGACAAGGUUUGUUUUAUGGGAGCCAGUGAAAGAGAAGUGAUCAUAGCUUUCGUCUGGUUCCUAGUGUGUAUCAGCCAUUGUGAUGUUCUUCAGCUCAGAGACAUAGCACUCCAGUCCCUACCUCUGUCUUUACAUGGUAUCUGCUCCAUGGUGCAUCCUUUUCUGAUUCUUACAAAGAAACAUGUCAGUGCACUUAGACCUCCAUAAUCCAGGAUCAUCAAUACAUACCUAGACAAAAACUCUAUUUCAAACAGUAUCACAUGCUAAGGUUUUGAGUGGACACAUAUUUCACUGGACUAGUUUUCACCCAGCUGCGACAUAACAGGAAGUAACUGAUGCUGCAGAGGAGCGAAUGGACAUAAUAUAUGGUCUCACUCAGGGUGUCAGGCUCCAGCAGCGGUGAGAAGGGUUGAUCAUGUAGGGUAGAAUGCUCACGUACUUCAGUGUUUUAAGGAAGCUAAGUUCUUGCUGCCAGGGUAGGAAGUUGAUAUUUGGUACCUAGAUAAAAAGGGUUAGAGGGUCCCCAGAUACCAUCCUGGAGAUACUGAGAGGUGACUUUAUGGUAUGGUAACAAAAUGUAAAUGUGAAUGUGUAUUACUAACCUUGGCCUGUAGUGACCUGGGCACAGGCCAUGCAUCAACAAUAAGUGCUUAUUGUUGCUCUGUAGCAUGAAACAUAAAAAGCAAUCCACACCAGCUCCAGCUAGGUACCAGUCGGUGACCUCAGUCUGUCUCCAACCCAGCAGACAGGCUGAGACCACAUUCUUUCCUUUUAGCCAGGGCCUGUCUUACCCAGGCUGGCUCUGUCUUUCUGGAGCUCCAAAAUUGCUCUCUCCUCCCAGCUCACUAAGUUUCCAGGGUUGGCUGUUGCCACACAAACCCCACACUUCCAAAUUCCUGUGGGUGACUAGAGUGCACCUUUGCACACCAUGCCACUGCACUUUUCUCUGGAACCCAGUUGAGUUGCUGAGUAAAGGAAAACACCACACAUUCUUAGUUUAGAAUCAACAGGUAACACAAUUACCUGAAUGCUGAGUGCAGCAGCUAGCAUCCUAAUUUUACAAACUAUUCUAUUAGAAAUCCUCCAGUGGCAGAUCCUGGUGUAUCUGCCACUCAAUUGACAGUCCGGCUACUUAGAUUCUGUCUGCCUCCCUUGCUCCCACCAUUCAAAGGGCUAUCCGUUUUUCUUGCCUCUCUCUUCCUGCCUCCUCACACAAUGAUUGGUUGCUUGUAAUGUUUAUUUAUUAGGGGAAAAUUCUACCACAUUUCACCCUUUUUGUUCAACAACAACAAAGCUUUUCUCUCAAAUAUAAACUGAGUCAAACUAUUACCAUUCUGUAACUUAUAAAGUAUAAGAUACACCUAACAUCCAGUCCAUUGAGUCCAUAUCUACCCUAACUCAAAAAAAAAAGACUUAUAAUUCCAUAUCUGUUAUGACCCGGUUAGCUUGUAUACUAUCUGAAAACUAUCCUCUCGAAUAUGUUCUCUCAAUGCUAAGUAGCCUGGGUUGGCUGUGUGACUAUAACUAGUCUUCAACCCCAUCAGAAACAUGAGAACGACCAAUAUUAACUGCACAUAUAGGAAGCCUAACACGGCUUCCAGAACUGAGACAAACUGUAGAAACAGCUGCCUACCUGUACAGUCACAGUGUGUCAGAAAGUUGGAGCAUCAAUCUUCAGCCUUCUGGCUCAGGAUCAUCUGACAGACUUUUGAAACAGGAAAUAUCAAGGACGAGCUCAUUCUGUCUCAGCAGAACUAAGCUGUCCUAUCCUGUAAGUUGUAUGCUCUCCUGAACAGUACAGGUCUGUAGAAGAAAUAAGCCAUUUCUGCCCAGUGGCUACCAUGCCACAAUGUACAAUCUUGCCUGGAGGUAGGGAUGCUCAGUUUCUUCUUUGAAUCCACAAAUGCGGAGCUGUUAGAAGCAGAUAUGUCUCAACAACAAAUGAGGAAAUAACAUUAAAUGUCAACUCUGUGGAUUUCUGAUGUUUUGUUUUGAAAACUAUCUAUCUAUGUAAAGUAAUCUGGACCGUUGUCCUUUAACUACUCUCAGCUAUUUCUAAAUAAAAUAUCUUGCAAAUACCCUAGCAGUUAACUCAAAGCUAAGAAUUUGCUAUCUGGCUCUUAUUUCAUAUGCUUAGUGAAUUCAGAUCAGCUUAUAAUGGCAUUUAUAGAAGGACUGGGUCUAAGUUCUGUAUUUUAAAAAUUUUUGUAUCAAUAGAAGAAAUUUAUACCAAUGAAAACCUUGAUUUUUAUCAAAAAUUCUCUACCAAUGUAAGAAAUUAUAAUUUCAACUUAGUAACUAUUAAAAGAUUUCUACCAAAUGAGAUAGAUUAUGCCUACACAAUCAAUUCUAGCAUAUCCUAUUAAAUUCUGAUCAUUACUAAAUUCCACAGAAAGACAACAUUCGAAUAACUACUUCUAAUCUCCAAGCCCAGGGAACUGAAUGACAACUCUUCAUAACUUCUUCCUGCUGAAUAUGGGUGUUGAGAUAUUGAGGGAAGGGAUUAGGGGAAAUGAGGGAGUUGGUUGGCCUUAAGAAGGCAACACCAACAACUGUUAUAGUCUUUGAUGUCUGUGUCCUGACUGGAUCUGUCUGAAAGCCCAUGAGAUCAAGAGUUCGAGCAGGUCAGUUCAGCAUGUCUGACAAAGAAACUUACAAAAGCUGAACAUUCAGUAAUAUAAAAAUCUCAAAAUAAAAUUUUAGUAUCAUUAAGAUAUCUAUAUUGAUUGCAUUAGUCUGUGUAGGAUGUUCAGACUAGUUAGGAUGAAAUUCUGCUCCAAUCAUGUCUUGAUUUGUGCUAUAUGAGGGAUGGCUUCCAUGUCUUUGCAAGUCAGCUACUUGGAAAAUGCUGGAGGGCAGCGCUCGAAGUCUAAUGGAGAUUUUGGUUUUGUUUAGAACCUCAGUCUAUGGAGUGGAUCCACUCACAUUCAGAAUAGAUGUGCUCAAAUUAAUCCCCGGCCGAAAACCCCCUCAUGGAUUCAAAUAGAAGCAUACUUUAAUCUCUUAGGUGCUCCUAAAGAUAACCAGGUUGAUGAGGUUAGCCAAGGAUAGGGAAAAUAAUAUCAAAGAAACAACUCAGAACUGAGAGCCUCACAGAUAGGAAGAAAAGGAUAAAAAGGACUCUAUCAAAGCAGGGAAGUGAACUUUGGUGUAUAAUUCUGGAAUGGACCGAGAAUUUUGACCAGAAAAUGUGGUAUGAAAAUUGGUGUUACUUUGCUUAAGGAAUGCCUGGAGUAGAGAUGCUCAUUGUUUUUAGUUGCAGUAGUGGUGGAUGGGGAGGAAGAGAAAGUGAUGAGGAAGAGGGAAGGAGGGUGAGGCUACAUCUAUCACAAUGAUGAAAAAGGAAGGAUGACUGAAGAAGCCUUGAAAUUUCUACAUAGCUUUUGUACACUACUGGAAUAGAAAUUGUCUGAUUUCAUAUGCAGAAACCACCUGUCUAAUCAAGUUAUUUAAAUUUAUUUAUUUACAUUUCAAACUCUGCUCCUCAUCCUGGUACCCUUGCCCUACAGAGUUCCUCCCUGAACCCCCUUCCUCCUUUGAGAGGGUGAGACUCCAUGGGGUUCCCCCACCCCAGCACAUCAAAUCUCUGCCAGAUUAAGCACAUUCUCUCCCACUGAGGCUAGACAAGGCAGCCAUACUAAGAUUAAGCUGCAUGUUUGCUACAAAUGUGUUGGAGGCCCUUGUUGUACUCAAUGUAUGUUCUUUAGUUGGUGACUUUGUCUCUGAGACCUCCCUGGGGUCCAGGUUACUUGACUCUAUUGGUCUUCUUGUGGGGUUCCCAUACCAUUUGGGGACUUCAAUCCUUUCCCCAAAUGUUCCACAAGAGUUUCUGACCUCUGCUCAAUAUUUGGCUGUUGGUAUCUACACCGUUUUCAGUCUGCGGCUGUGUAGAGCCUCUCAGAGGACACUUAUUCUAGGUUCCUGUCUGCAAGCAUAACAGAAUAUCAUUAAUAAUGUCAGGGAUUGGUGCUUGCCCAUGGGAUACAGAAACCACCUGUCUAAUCAAGUUAUUUAAAACUUAUGUUAUUUUCUUUUUAGUCAUUAGAGAACCUAAAAUGUACUUUGUCAGGAAGCCCAACACUGGAGACCCAGAAAUCAUGAAAUUGAAAUGUUUUCAUGAAAGUGAAUGGCUCCUUCCAACAACUAUGAAGAUGGAUGAGUAUGAGAAGUCAGGACUGGAUUACCCCAACAUGGGAGAGCUGGGAUAUUUUUAUUGAGCUUGAGAACUGGAGGACACCAUGGAAAGCAUGCCAAAACCCUUUUAUGAUGCCAGUUUGGAAGGCUGAAACCUCAUACCAUUCUUCAAGGGAAUAAUAACUCCAGCUUAAUAUCUGUACAUCUCUGUAGACAUGUUCAUUGAAUUCAGUUCUCAUGGGUACAUUCAGAAAAGUCUUCUGGGUCUCCUCACACAUUCACGCUGCAAGCCAGUUACAGGGAUUGUGCCCAUGCAUACACAGGUCAUCAUUUCAUUCAUGCAACUAAGUACAGCAUGAAGCACAACUGCAUCAGAGAUAUAUCUAGAAAAGUAGUUCCAAAUCUGCCACAAAGACAUUGUUCUCAAGUCAUCUCAUGUUGUUUAAUUAACUGUAGGAUUGUCUCUUUGAGCAUAUCACCAAAGCUUCAUCCUCUGAUUUCACUGAGCCCAUCAUGUAAGAGCCAAGUCAUUAUUAGUCUAACCAAGGUGAUGAGAAAGUUGGGCAUGCAGGGGUGUGUUACUCAGUCAUUGUCACUGUGACAAAUAACCUGAGGGUAGAACAUUAAAAAUACUUGUUUUAGUUUAUGGAUGCAUAUGUUUUGGUCCAAAAUAGUGUGGAAAGUAUAGGGGAAUAGAAUAAGUCACAUCAUGGUAACCAUGGAGCAGAGACAAUGCCUGAGCUUGCAAGAUUCUUCCUUCUUCUGCCUUGAUUCUCUUCAGACCCCCAACCUAUGGAGUGGCUCCAUUCACAUUCAGGGAACCCAUAUGCACAAAUUAGUCUUCCUGGGAAUUGCCUUAUGAAUACAAAUAGAAGUGUACUUUAUUGAUUGUUUAGGUGCACCUAAAGCCAAUCAGGUUGACAGGGUUAGUUAUGAAUAGGAAAAGUAACACCAAAAAAGGAACUCAGAGCCGAGAGUCUAACAAAGAUGAAGGAAAAAAUUAAAUAAAACCCCCUAAUAUCAUCUUUUGUUCCAAAGAGAGAGUCAUAGUCAAGAGAAGACUGAAGAGAGAGUCAUAGUCAAGAGAAGACUGAGGGGCAGACAAGUCUGGGAAGCCAGAAGAGACUACACUCUACAGAAAUGCCCACAUUUCUGACUCCAGAGGAAAAUAUCUAAGGCCAUCUGGGACCCCGGUGCAUGGGUGGUCCUGGGUAAAGGCAGUACAGGCACUCCUGGUUGCCGCCCUCACUGAAAGCUUAAAAGCAGCCCUCCAUGAGCAACUUGAGCCGUGGGACCACAGGUAAGACCAACUUUUCUGCUCCAAGCGACCUGCCUGGUGGAGUCAGGACACACAGAGGCAAAAUUCCUCAGGGACCAGACACUUCCUGUUUUUAGCUGGAGCCGGAACCUUGCUGAUCCUGGCCCACAGCUCACUGCUCCCAAACCCCAUGGGAGAGAGAGCUCCCUGCCUAGACAGGUGGGCACUCCUGAGAUUGCAGAGCAGGAGAGGCCACCAAUACUGCCCACCCCUGCCCACAUCCCUGGCCCAAGUGGAAACUGUAUACGGCCUCUAGGAACCGGAAGAUAGGGGCAAUCAAGUGGCAGAUCCCCUGCGAUGCAGACACCGCCUGGACCUGAAGGGACCCGAUCAACAGCUCCCUGCACACAAAUCCUAUGGGAGGGAGAGCUAAACCUUAGGAGGGGCAGACACACCUGGGAAGCCAGAAGAGACUACACUCUGCCCACAUUUCUGACACUAGAGGAAAACGCCUAGUGCCAUCUGGGCCCCUGUGCACAGGGUCCCAAGGGAAGGCGGGGCAGGCCCUUCUGGUUGCUGCCCUCACAGAGAGCUGACACCCAGCUCUGAGAAGUGACUCAAGGCCCGAGACCAGAGGUAAGACCAACUUUUCUACUCCAAGUGACCUGCCUGGUGUACUUAGCACACACACCCAUAGGAACACCUGAAGAGCAGAAGACAGGAACGAAUACAUGCCUGAAAAAAGAACACUCUGUUCUCAUAACUGGCUGAAAGAAAACAGGAAAACAGGUCUAUAGCACUCCUGACACAGGCCUAUAGCAUGGUCUAACCACUGUCAGAAAUAGCAGAACAAGGUAACACCAGAGACAACCUGAUGUCGAGAGGCAAGCACAGGAACCCAAGCAACAGAAACCAAGACUACAUGGCACCAUUGGAGCCCAAUUCUCCCACCAAAGCAAACACUUAAUAUCCAAACACACCAGAAAAGUAAGAUCCAGACUUAAAAUCACAUUUGAUCAGGAUGAUGGAGGACUGUAAGAAAGACAUAAAGAACUCCCUUAGAGAAACGCAGGAAAACAUAAAUAAACAAGUAGAACACUACAGAGAGGAAUCACAAAAAUCCCUGAAAGAAUUCCAGGAAAACACAAUCAAACAGGUGAAGGAAUUAAGAAUGAUUUCCAUAGCAAUCAUGAAGCAAUAAAGAAAGCACAAAGGGAGACAACCCUAGAUAUAGAAAACCAAAGGAAGAGACAAGGAGCCAUAGAUACAAGCAUCACCAACAGAAUACAAGAGAUAGAAGAGAAAAUCUCAGGAGAUUUUAAUUCAUCUUAAAAAAAAAUCUUUGGAGAAGAGACUACACUCUGCCCACAUUUCUGACGCCAGAGGAAAACACCAAACACCAUCUGGGACCUCGGUGCACUGGGGCUCCCAGAAAGGGCGGCGCAGGCCCUCCUGGUUGCUGCCCUAGUGGAGAGCUCAUAAGCAACACCCCACGAGCAAACUUGAGCCUCGGGACCACAGGUAAGACCAACCUUUCUGCUCCAAACGACGUGACUGGUGGUCUCAGGACACACAAAGGCAAAAUUCCUCUAGGACCAGACACUUCCGGUUUUUAGUUGGAUUCCAAACUUCACUGAACCUUGCCUGCAGCUCACUGCUCCCGAACCCCGUGGGAGAGAAAGCUCACCACCCGGACAGGUGGGCACUCCUGAGACUGCAGAGCGGCAGAGACCACCAAUACUGCCCACCCCUGCCCACAUCCCUGGCCCAAGAGGAAACUGUAUAUAGCCUCUGGGAAACAGUAGAUAGGUGCACUGGAGCUGCAGACCCCCUGCGCCCGAGACACCUCCAAAACCUAAAGGGACUGGAUUAACAGCUCUCUGCACCCAAAUCCAGUGGGAGGGAGAGCUAAACAUUCAGAGAGGCAGACAAGCCUGGGAAGCCAGAAGAGACUACACUCGGCCCACAUUUCUGACUCACAGGAACCCACAGGAACUCCUCAGGCCCACAGGAACAGCUGAAGACCUGUAGACAGGAAAAACUACAUGCCCGAAAGCAGAACACUCUGUUCCCAUAAGUGGCUGAAAGAAAACAGGAAAACAGGUGUACAACACUCCUGUCACACAGGCUUGUAGGACAGUCUAGCCACUAUCAGAAAUAGCAGAACAAAGUAACACCAGAGAUAAUCUGCUGGCGAGGGGCAAGCACAGGAACCCAAGCAACAGAAACCAAGACUACAUGGCAUCAUCAGAGCCCAAUUCUCCCACCAAAGAAAACACUGAAUAUCCAAACACACCAGAAAAGCAAGAUCUAGAUUUAAAAUCAUAUUUGAUCAUGAUGCUGGAGGACUUCAAGAAAGACAUGAAGAACUCCCUUAGAGAAACGCAGGAAAACAUAAAUAAACAAGUAGAAGCCUAUAGAGAGGAAUCACAAAAAUCCCUGAAAGAAUUCCAGGAAAACACAAUAAAACAAUGGAAGGAAUUAAAAAUGGAAAUAGAAGCAAUCAAGAAAGAACACAGGGAAACAACCCUGGAUAUAGAAAACCAAAGGAAGAGACAAGGAGCCUUAGAUACAAGCAUCACCAACAGAAUACAAGAGAUAGAAGAGAGAAUCUCAGGAGCAGAAGAUUCCAUAGAAAUCAUCGACACAACUGUCAAAGAUAAUGUAAAACAGAAAAAGCUACUGGUUCAAAACAUACAGGAAAUCCAGGACUCAAUGAGAAGAUCAAACCUAAGGAUAAUAGGUAUAGAAGAGAGUGAAGACACCCAGCUCAAAGGACUAGUAAAUAUCUUCAACAAAAUCAUAGAAGAAAACUUCUCUAACCUAAAGAAAGAGAUGCCCAUAAGCAUACAAGAAGACUACAGAACUACAAAUAGAUUGGACCAGAAAAGAAACUCCUCCCAUCACGUAAUAGUCAAAACACCAAAUGCAGAAAACAAAGAAAGAAUAUUAAAAGUAGUAAGGGAAAAAGGCCAAGUAACAUAUAAAAGCAGACCUAUCAGAAUCACACCAUAUUUCUCACCAGAGACUAUGAAAGCCAGAAGAUCCUAGAUAGAUGUCAUACAGACCCUAAGAGAACACAAAUGCCAGCCCAGGUUACUGUAUCCUGCAAAACUCUCAAUUAACAUAGAUGGAGAAACCAAGAUAUUCCAUGACAAAACCAAAUUUACACAAUAUCUUUCUACAAAUCCAGCCCUACGAAGGAUAAUAAAUGGUAAAGUCCAACAUAAGGAGGCAAGCUACACCCUAGAAAAAGCAAGAAACUAAUCGUCUUGGCAACAAAACAAAGAGAAGAAAAGCACACAAACAUAAUCUCACAUCCAAAUAUGAAUAUAACAGGAAGCAAUAAUCACUAUUCCUUAAUAUCUCUCAACAUCAAUGGUCUCAACUCUCCAAUAAAAAGACAUAGAUUAACAAACUAGAUGGGCCAUGAGGACCCUGCAUUCUUCUGCCUACAGGAAACACACCUCAGAGAAAAAGACAGACACUACCUCAGAAUGAAAGGUUGGAAAACAACUUUCCAAACAAAUGGUCUGAAGAAGCAAGCUGGAGUAGCCAUUCUAAUAUCGAAUAAAAUCGAUUUUCAACCAAAAGAUAUCAAAAAAGAUAAGGAAGGACACUUCAUAUUCAUCAGAGGAAAAAUCGAACAAGAUGAACUCUCAAUCCUAAAUAUCUAUGCUCCAAAUACAUGGGCAACUACAUAUAUAAAAGAAAUUUUACUAAAGCACAAAGCACACAUUACACCUCACACAAUAAUAGUAGGAGAUUUCAACACCCCACUCUUAUCAAUGGACAGAUCACGGAAACUGAAAUAAAGCAGAGUCAUAGACAGCCUAAGAGAAGUCAUGAACGAAAUGGACUUAACAGAUAUUUACAGAACACUCUAUCCUAAAACAAUAGGAUAUGACUUCUUCUCACUACCUCAUGGUACUAUCUCCAAAAUUCACCAUAUUAUUGGUCAUAAAACAGGCCUCAAUAGAUACAGAAAGAUUGAAAUAAUCCCAUGCGUCCUAUCAGACCACCACUGGCUAAAACGGGUCUUCAACAACAAUAAGGGAAGAAUGCCCACAUAUACAUGGAAAUUUAACAAUGUUCUACUCAAUGAUAAACUGGUCAAGGAAGAAAUAAAGAAAGAAAUUAAAGACUUCUUAGAAUUUAAUGAAAAUGAAGGUACAAUAUACCCAAACUUAUGGGACACAAUGAAAGCUGUGCUAAGAGGAAAACUCAUAGCUCUGAGUGCCUGCAGAAAGAAACAAGAGAGAAUAUGUCACCAGCUUGACAGCACACAUAAAAGCCCUAGAACAAAAAGAAGCAAAUACACCCAGGAGGAGUAGAAGGCAGGAAAUAAUCAAACUGACAGCUGAAAUCAAGCAAGUAGAAACCAAAAGGACUAUACAAAGAAUCAACAGAAACAAAAGUUGAUUCUUUGAGAAAAUCAACAUGAUAGAUAAACCCUUAGUCAGAAUAACCAGAGGACACAGAGUGUGUGUCCAGAGUAACAAAACCAGAAAUGAAAAGGGAGACAUCACUACAGAAUCAGAGGAAAUUCAAAAAAAUCAUCAGAUCCUAUUACAAAAGCCUACAUUUCAACAAAACUUGAAAAUCUGGAGGAAAUGGACAAUUUCCUAGACAGAUACCAGGUACCAAAGUUAAAUCAGGAACAGAUAAACCAUUUAAACAACCCCACAACUCCUAAAGAAAUAGAAGCAGUCAUUAAAAGUCUCCCAACCAAAAAGAGCCCAGGUCCAAAUGGGUUUAGUGCAGAAUUCUAUGAGACCUUCAUCGAAAACCUCAUACCAAUACUAUCCAAACUAUUCCACAAAAUUGAAACAGAUGGAACAUUACUGAAUUCCUUCAAUGAAGCCACAAUUACUUUUAUACCAAAAGCACACAAAGACACAACAAAGAAAGAGAACUUCAGACCAAUUUCCCUUAUGAAUAUCGACGCAAAAAUACUCAAUAAAAUUCUGGCAAACCGAAUCCAAGAGCACAUCAAAACAAUCAUCCAUCAUGAUCAAGUAGGCUUCAUCCCAGGCAUGCAGGGAUGGUUUAAUAUACGGAAAACCAUCAACGUGAUCCAUUAUAUAAACAAACUGAAAGAACAAAACCACAUGAUCAUUUCAUUAGAUGCUAAGAAAGCACUUGUCAAAAUUAAACACCCCAUCAUGAUAAAAGUCCUGGAAAGAAUAGGAAUUCAAGGCCCAUACCUAAACAUAGUAAAAGCCAUAUAGAGCAAACCAGCAGUUAACAUUAAACUAAAUAGAGAGAAACUUGAAGCAAUCCCACUAAAAUCAGGGACUAGACAAGGGUGCCCAUUUCUCCCUACUUAUUCAGUAUUGUUCUUCAAGUUCUAGUUAGAGCAAUAAGACAUCAAAAGGAGAUCAAAGGGAUACAGAAUGGAAAAGUAGUCAAAAUAUCACUAUUUGCAGAUGAUAUGAUAGUAUAUUUAAGUGAUCCCAAAAGUUCUACCAGGAACUACUAAACCUGAUAAACACCUUCAGCAAAGUGGCUGGGUUUAAAUCAGUAGUCUUCCUCUAUACAAAAGAGAAACAAGCCGAUAAAGAAAUUAGGGAAAUGACACCCUUCAUAAUAGUCCCAAAUAAUAUAAAAUACUUCGGUGUGUCUUUAACCAAGCAAGUGAAAGAUCUUCAAGCCUCUGAAGAAAGAAAUUGAAGAUCUCAGAAGAUGGAAAGAUCUCCCAUGCCCAUGGAUUGGCAGGAUUAAAAUGGUAAAAAUAUAGCCAUUUUACCAAAAGUGAUCUACAGAUUCAAUGCAAUCCCCAUCAAAAUGCCAAUCCAAUUCUUCAGAGAGUUAGACAGAACAAUUUUCAAAUUCAUCUGGAAUAACAAAAAACCCAGGAUAGCUAAAACUAACCUCAACAAUAAAAGGACUUCCGGGGGAACUACUCUCCCUGAACUCAAGUAGUAUUACAGAGCAAUAGUGAUAAAAACUGCAUGGUAUUGGUACAGAGACAGACAGAUAGACCAGUGGAAUAGAACUGAAGACCCAGAAAUGAACCCACACACCUAUGGUCACUUGCUUUUUGACAAAGGUGCCAAAACCAUCAAAUGGAAAAAAGAUAGCAUUUUCAGCAAAUGGUGCUGGUUCAACUGGAGGUCAUCAUGUAGAAGAAUGCAGAUCGAUCCAUGCUUAUCACCCUGUACAAACCUUAAGUCCAAGUGGAUCAAGGACCUCCACAUCAAACAAGAUACACUAAAACUAAUAGAAGUUAAAGUGGUGAAGAAUCUCAAACACAUGGGCACUGGAGAAAAUUUCCUGAAAAAAAAACACCAGGGGCUUAUGCUCUGAGAUCAAGAAUCGACAAAUGGGAUCUCAUAAAACUGCAAAGCUUCUGUAAGGCAAAGGACACUGUUGCUAGGACAAAACGGCAACCAACAGAUUGGGAAAAGAUCUUUACCAAUCCUACAACUGAUAGAGGGCUUAUAUCCAAAAUAUACAAAGAACUCAAGAAGUUAGACCGCAGGGAGACAAAAUAACCCUAUUAAAAAUGGGGUUCAGAGCUAAACAAAGAAUUCACAGCUGAGGAAUGGCAAGUGGCUGAGAAACACCUAGAGAAAUGUUCAACAUCUUUAGUCAUAAGGGAAAUGCAAAUCAAAACAACCCGGAGAUUCUACUUCACACCAGUGAGAAUGGCUAAGAUCAAAAACUCAGGUGACAGGAGAUGUUGGCGAGGAUGUGGAGAAAGAGGGGCACUCCAUUGUUGGUGGGAUUGCAGUCUGGUACAACCAUUCUGGAAAUCAGUCUGGAGGUUCCUCAGAAAAUUGGACAUUGAACUACCUGAGGACCCACAUAUACCUCUCUUGGGCAUGUACCCAAAAGAUGCCCCAACAUAUAACAAAGACACAUGCUCCACUCUGUUCAUAGCAGCCUUAUUUAUAAUAGCCAGCAGCUGGAAAGAACCCAGAUGCCCUUCAACAGAGGAAUCGAUACAGAAAAUGUGGUUAAUCUUCACAAUGGAAUAUUACUCAGCUAUCAGAAACAAUGACUUUAUGAAAUUCAUAGGCAAAUGGAUGCAACUUGAAAAUAUCACCCUGAGUGAGGCAACCCAAUCCCAGAAAAACACACCUGGUAUGCACUCAUUGAUAAUUGGUUAUUAGCCCAAAUGCUUGAAUUACCCUAGAUGCACAGAACACAUGAAACUCAAGAAGGAUGACCAAAAUGGGAAUGCUUCACUCCUUCUUUGAAUGGGGAACAAGAAUACCCUUGGCAGCGAAUAGGGUGGCGAAGAUUAAAACAGAGGCAGAAGGAACACCCAUUCAGAGCCUGCCCCACAUGUGGCCCAUACAUAUACAGCCACCCAAUUAGACAAGAUGGAUAAAGCAAAGAAGUGCUGGCGGACAGGAACUGGAUGUAGAUCUCUCCUGAGAGACACAGCCAGAAUACAGCAAAUACAGAGGCGAAUGCCACUGAACUGAGAAUGGGACCCCUGUUGAAGGAAUCAGAGAAAGGACUGAAAGAGUUUGAAGGGGCUCGAGACCCCAUAUGAACAACAAUUCCAACCAACCAGAGCUUCCAGGGACUAAGCCACUAUCCAAAGACUAUACAUGGACUGACCCUGGGCUCCAACCUCAUAGUUAGCAAUGAAUAGCCUAGUAAGAGCACCAGUGGAAGGGGAAGCCCUUGGUCCUGCCAAGACUGAAUCCCC